rnacentral:rRNA from 1 species
GAUGAACGCUGGCGGCGUGCCUAAUACAUGCAAGUCGAGCGAACAGACGAGGAGCUUGCUCCUCUGACGUUAGCGGCGGACGGGUGAGUAACACGUGGAUAACCUACCUAUAAGACUGGGAUAACUUCGGGAAACCGGAGCUAAUACCGGAUAAUAUAUUGAACCGCAUGGUUCAAUAGUGAAAGACGGUUUUGCUGUCACUUAUAGAUUGAUCCGCGCCGCAUUAGCUAGUUGGUAAGGUAACGGCUUACCAAGGCGACGAUGCGUAGCCGACCUGAGAGGGUGAUCCGCCACACUGGAACUGAGACACGGUACAGACUCCGACGGGAGGCAGCAGUAGGGAAUCUUCCGCAAUGGGCGAAAGCCUGACGGAGCAACGCCGCGUGAGUGAUGAAGGUCUUCGGAUCGUAAAACUCUGUUAUUAGGGAAGAACAAAUGUGUAAGUAACUAUGCACGUCUUGACGGUACCUAAUCAGAAAGCCACGGCUAACUACGUG